rnacentral:sRNA from 1 species
GUGGAAUUAGUGGGGACUGAAAUCUUCUCUCCUCGGAGCAGGUAGAGCCUGGACAGAGUCAGUUAAGUGCUUCCCCCUGGCAAGCCGGUCACCGUGCCUCUAUUGUAAACAGGAAGGGACCCAGUUGGGGACGAGAGGGGAGCUCAGGCCCCGUGGCCCAUUCAAUCCUUGGCCUGG